UUGAAGGGCGAGUUCCCGUCCCUCUUCUCCCGUCCUCGCUUCUUCAGUUCUCCAGUAUAUUGACUAGAGUCCGGUCUACACCCUGCUCACUCUGUACUAGAUCCGUAAUUUUCUCAGUGUAGUGCGACCAGCUGAAUUCGGAGAAGAAAAUUAACUGGAAGAAGGCUAUUUUUUAAAAUUUCAACCUUCCCUGUAGUCAUAGUAAGAAUUGCAUACCUGUUCUAGUGGAAAAUACAGGACACUUUGGAGAAUACAGGAAACUGUCAAAAUAGAGGAAACUGUUUCUAGUGGAGAAUACAGAAAACUGUGAAGAAUACAUAAAAAAUUGUAAAGAACACCAAAAACUGUAAGAAUACAGGAAACUGUGAAGAAUACAGGAAACUGUAAAGAACACAUGACACUGUGAAGAAUACAGGAACUGUAAAGAAUACAGGAAACUGUAAAGAAUACAAUACAGAAAACUGUAGAGAAUACAGAAAACUGUAAAGAAUACAGAAAACUGUAAAUAAUACAGAAAACUGCAAAGAAUAUAGAAAACUGUGAAGAUUACAGAAAACUGUUCAGGAUACAGGUAACUGUCAAGAAUACAGAGAACUGUAAAGAAUGCAGAAAACUGUAAAGAAUUCAGGAAACUGUAAAAAAUACAGGAAACUGUGAAGAAUACAGGAAACUCUGGAGAAUACAUGAAAUUUUUUGAGAGUAGAGAAAACUGUGAAGAAUACAGGAAAUUGUGAUAAACACAGGAUACUGUGAAGAACACAGGAAACUGUGAAGAAUACAGGAAACUGUGAAGAAUACAGGAAACUGUGAAGAAUACAGGAAACUGUGAAGAAUACAGGAAACUGUGAAGAAUACAGGAAACUUUGAACAAUACAGGAAACUGUGAAGAAUACAGGAAACUGUGAACAAUACAGCAAACUGUUAACAAUACAGGAAACUGUGUAAAAUAAAAAAAACUGUGAAAAAUAAUACUGUAAAGAAUACAGGAAACUGUGAAGAAUGCAGGAAACUGUAAAGAAUACAGGAAACUGUAAAGAAUACAGGAAACUUUGAAAAAUACUAAAAAAAUGUGAAAAAAAGGAAAAUUAUGAAAAAUAUGUCAAAAAAACUUCAAAAAAUCAAAUAAUG